UGGGGAAUAUUGGACAAUGGGGGGAACCCUGAUCCAGCCAUGCCGCGUGUGUGAAGAAGGCCUUAUGGUUGUAAAGCACUUUAAGCGAGGAGGAGGAGCUCUAGGCUAAUAUCCUAGAAGCUUGGACGUUACUCGCAGAAUAAGCACCGGCUAACUCUGUGCCAGCAGCCGCGGUAAUACAGAGGGUGCGAGCGUUAAUCGGAUUUACUGGGCGUAAAGCGUACGUAGGCGGCUUAUUAAGUCGGAUGUGAAAUCCCUGAGCUUAACUUAGGAAUUGCAUUCGAUACUGGUGAGCUAGAGUAUGGGAGAGGAUGGUAGAAUUCCAGGUGUAGCGGUGAAAUGCGUAGAGAUCUGGAGGAAUACCGAUGGCGAAGGCAGCCAUCUGGCCUAAUACUGACGCUGAGGUACGAAAGCAUGGGGAGCAAACAGG
rnacentral:rRNA from 1 species